GCCAAGGUGGCGGAGCGGCUACGCAAUCGCCUGCAGAGCGAUUAAACUCCGGUUCGAAUCCGGACCUUGGCU
rnacentral:tRNA from 5 species